rnacentral:lncRNA from 1 species
AAUGACCUUCCAAGGGCACUAAUGUGACCACCUAACUAUAAUAUUGGUGUCCCGCCUAUUAGGAUGUGUCCCAUAAAUACUCAAAAUAAUUUGAUGCCAAGUGGGCGUAACUUUCCUUAGGGAACCUCUAGAGCCAUUUCCCUAAUAGAGCACAAUUCCUCAUAGAAAUCUUUCCAAACCCUAAACCACCAAAUUCCUUAGGCC